rfam:Myotis lucifugus cont2.21704, whole genome shotgun sequence.
AUCAUUUCUUGGCCUUUUGGCUAAGAUCAAGUGUAGUAUCUGUUCUUAUCAGCUUAAUCUCUGAUAUGUCCUUUAGCUGGACAAUAUACUUUUUUAAAAAAGGGCAAAAGCUUU